rnacentral:rRNA from 1 species
AAACAUGAUAGUGCUCACAAUAAAGCUAGACAACAAUAUGUGGCAUUCAAAAAUCAAAGGCAAUCCAUGGUAAAUGUGCUCGAUCGUGGCACCAAAAAGAGCGAGGAAGAAUAUAGAGCUCGUCUUGUCAUUAUUUUGGGUGUUAUCAGAUUUCUUCUAUUACAAGCUCUUGCUUUUCGUGGUCAUGAUGAGAGCUCGAGCUCAAAGAAUAGGGGGAAUUUUUUGGAGAUGAUGAGUUGGUACAGGGAGAAGGAUUCAAAUGCUAAGACUUUGCUUGAUAGUGCGGGCGGGAACCAUUUGAUGACUUCACAUGGGAUACAAUUGCAACUGUGUCAAGCUUAUGCAGAAGAGACCACCAAAGCAACUAUUGAUGAUAUUGGAGAUAGAAAUUUUUCUUUACUUGUUGAUGAGUCCAGAGAUGCAUCAAUAAAGGAGCAAAUGGCUAUGGUUUUAAGGUAUGUUGAUAAACAUGGGUAUGCGAUUGAGAGGUUCAUUGGGAUUAAGCAUGUUGGUGACACAAGGGCAGCUUCUCUGAAAGCAGCUUUGGAUGGUAUGUUUCUUGAACAUGGCUUGUCUAUGUCUAAAUUGAGAGGGCAAGGGUACGAUGGAGCUUCUAACAUGAGAGGACAAUUUCGUGGGUUGCAAAGGUUGAUACUAGAUGAAAAUCCUGAUGCAUUUUAUAUUCAUUGCUUUGCCCAUCAGUUGCAGUUAGUGGUUGUUGCAAUUGCCAAGUAUUGUUCCUCUGUAUUGGAUUUCUUUAACCACAUAACUUUGAUUGUCAACACCGUCAAUGCUUCUCGUAAGAGACAUGAUGAACUAGCCCAAGAACAACAUGAUAAUAUUGUGAGUCAAUUGGAGUCUGGGGAAAUUUUUUCUGGAAGAGGGAAAAACCAAGCAACCAACCUUGUAAGACCUGGGGAUACACGGUGGGGCACACAUCAUAAAACUUUGUGUCGGUUUAUUGAGAUGUGGACAUCUGUUUUGCAUGUAUUAGAGAACAUC